GCACGCCCUCCUCCCCUCCAGCUCACCGAGCGAUCUCCCUUCCUUCCUUCCAGUACUUCCUCCUGGUUGUUCUCCUGAGGAGGAAAAGAAGGGGUGACUCUCCACAUCCUUGCAGCCUCACCUCAUCAUCCCUGCCUGCUGCCUGGCCACACCUGGUCACUCAAGGCCUCCUUCAGUGCCCUGGUCUCAGCUGCCUCAGUAGGCUAGUGGAGCACAGCCAGGGGAGGACAGGAGGAGGGUAUUCUCUGGAGACAGGUGUGCCCCCCUACUGACAGACCCUGCUCAGCAGAACAGAAGCCCUUCAGCGAAUGAGACCUACCCUCUGCGGAAGGCUGGUUAGGAAGCAUCCAUGUCUACUUCAGCGUCUCACCUCCCUGUCACAAACAGAUCACCACAGUUUUCCUCCAGCCUCAUGCUGUCCUCCCCCUAGAGGAAUGUGGGUACAUGGAAUGUUCUCCACCUCCAUGCAUGUCCAGUGACGUUUUGGAUCAGCGUGUCAGGGACGCUGUCAGGCGUGCCUGCUUGCACUCAUCCAGCCCUGGCUGGAUGUGAUUCUACGAGCAGAGCAAGACCAGCAUGUUCUGUCCUCCAGUUAUCACAGCAGUUACUCUGGCAACCUGCAGGCCCUCCCUGAGGUGUCUGACGGCUGAAGCAGGGUCCAGUGGGAUGGAAUGAAGGAUGGGCACCCUGGAAGACAGCCCAUGGAGGGGCCCUUUGGGUCCCCUGCUGCCCUGGGCACCUGCGAAGAGAGAAGCUGAGCCACCCUGCCUGAGGCAGUAGGCAGUAAGAGCUGAAGGGAGCAGGAGGUUAGGGCCCAGCGGGAAGUGAGAGCAGUGGGGCCAGCACCAGGGUAAGCUGAAUAAAGCUCUCGCCUGAGGCGCAGAAUUUAAAGAUUUGCCAAAAAACUCAGCAGCCAAGAAAUUUAAUACUUCCAGCAAAUCAAAGCAAAACUGUCCAUGAUAAACAAGACUGGAGUUAGGGUAAGGCAAGUGAGGCCAAUACAAGGCCCGCAAAUCCAGUGUUGUAUCUUGUCUUUAUUAAAGGUUUGAUUUUGUUGUA
rnacentral:lncRNA from 1 species